ensembl:ncRNA lncRNA:CR44398 long non-coding RNA:CR44398
CUCUAAAAUUCAUCAAAAUUAAAAUGCUAAUAUUUUUCGUUUUUUAUUUAUAUUUUGGCACUGCAUCUUGUAUAUUUAUUCUGGAAGCUCGUUCUUGGGACGCAUAAUUUUACGAACCCGAUGCCCCCAGUAUUCGUGUGGUGCCAAAGGGGGGGUAUACUAAAUCAAGGUAAUCUUGACAAAACCGCUUGAGAAGAAACCAAGUCAAGGCCAAAAGCUUUUCAAGUGGUGCGAAGCAUCAGCGAUGGCAAACCACAUUAAAAUCAAGUCAAAACCUAGACAAACACACUUGUUAGCUUAUCAUGUUACCCAUGCUAAGCGUAUUAAUGGCAGGGAAGACGGCGACAACGAUGACAACAACGACAAUAAAAGGGCGUCAGCCAGGCAAACAAACAAGCAAACAAACAUCGAGGAUAAAGUAAAAUAUUAAUAGCCAGCUACUAAAAUAGCACGAGCCUGAAUCCAACACAAAGAAUCAGCAUGGGGGCCACCAAGGAGUCAACGAGUUUUGAGGUCUCCCGAAAUCGGAGGACAGUGGGUGGCUGGGCUACUGGUGGUUAAGCCACUUGGUAAGUCCUGGCUCAGACAGAACUUGGUGCGCAGCCAACCAUGAUGGCAUCGCCCACAUGCCUGUUUCUGGAACUCUGGCUUAACCUCAGAAUUGUGUGCGGAUGGCCGUUAAUGUGUCAUCUGGGCUGAAGCCAGACUGCGUAAUUAUUACUAUAAUUUAUGCAGAAAUAGUUUGUUUCAAAACUGAGAAGUACAUCUGUACGUACCCAUGAAGUCCUGGGAAGGCCAACUAUGUUUGUCAAAAUAAUCUC